UGGGGAAUAUUGGACAAUGGGCGAAAGCCUGAUCCAGCAAUGCCGCGUGAGUGAUGAAGGCCUUAGGGUUGUAAAGCUCUUUUACCAGGGAUGAUAAUGACAGUACCUGGAGAAUAAGCUCCGGCUAACUCCGUGCCAGCAGCCGCGGUAAUACGGAGGGAGCUAGCGUUGUUCGGAAUUACUGGGCGUAAAGCGCACGUAGGCGGCUUUUUAAGUCAGGGGUGAAAUCCCGGGGCUCAACCCCGGAACUGCCUUUGAAACUGGGAAGCUAGAAUCUUGGAGAGGCGAGUGGAAUUCCGAGUGUAGAGGUGAAAUUCGUAGAUAUUCGGAAGAACACCAGUGGCGAAGGCAGCCAUCUGGCCUAAUACUGACGCUGAGGUACGAAAGCAUGGGGAGCAAA
rnacentral:rRNA from 1 species